GCUCCAUCAUUCCAACAUUUUUGUAGCCACGACGUCGGUUAAAGAUUUUCCUCGUAAGAAACGUUUAGAGAUUUAUCCAGUUUUUCUUGGAAAGGCAAGUUUGUAGUGAAGGGACCCAUUAGGGUCCCUUCACUGAGGCGACCUAUUUAUAGCAGGACGCUUUUUGAAGGGUUUUGUCCUUCAUUUAAAAGUACCGACCAUCCCGAUUUCUUUCCCAUUACGAUUCCAACCUUGCUCCAAGAACCACAUAAAGUUAAAUUGUUCCAGUAAAUUUCUUUAAAAUGAAUUUGUUUAAUAAGUUAAAAAAUUAUUGGUACAAGUUUAAACGGAAGAAAGUUAAAGUGCACGGUGAAAUUUUUAAAUUGGAGUAACAUUACGCCGAAAGUUAUUAAAUAAUUCGACGGAAAAAAAAUCCACGACGUCCCAAUUUCAUUGUUUCCAGUUCACCACGAGGCAAAAAUGGCGACUUAAAUUGUGUUCGUUUAUUUUAAUCUGAGAAAAUCCACCACGUCCCAACUUCAUUGUUUCCACUCCACCACGAGGCAAAAAUGGCGUCCAAAUUCUCUACGUUUAUAUUUAUCUCAGAUUUACUGGACCCCUCAUCUCCGCCACCAUCAAUUCGUUUUAAUGGAUAUUUUUACUCUUACUGGGAUCACGACGAAGGAAAAUCUUCAAACCACACCCACGCAACAACAUUCGACAAGUCGCCUCAUUUCUGGACGACUCCUCUCCAUCGCAUCGUAUUUACAACGUUAUCAUGUUCCUGCAACGUUAAGUAAUCUCUCAUCGUUUGUUUUAAUUUAGUUUUAUUUUUUAAUUUGCAAUAUGCACACGUUUAUACGCAAAUUUGGCCAAAUUAGUUACUAUUUAUCAUUAAGUAAUUUUAAAAUUAUGCUAAAUCAUAAAAAUUCUAAGCUUCAUAAUUUCCAUAGGUGUAUCUAAAAAUUCAGACUUUUAACUCUGUCAAACUUACCGGUCUAUAUUUUCGUAGUACAUUUUGCAAUUUUUGUAAAUCUUUCUCGUAUUUUCUCUGAAUCGGGUAGAAUAUUUAUGACUUUGAAGCUAUUUAACUGCCCAGUUAAAUAGCUUCAAAGUCAGAAGAUAUCAAACCCCAGGUUUGAUAUCUUCUUAAAAUUUUUGCACAUCUGCAAAUUAAUCAGUUCGUGAAAACCUUCAAUAUUUGGAUUUGUAUAAGAUUACUUUAAAUUAACUUUCUCCCUCUCAGUCGUCAACAAUGCAUGAAUAGUACCAAGAUCAAUUCUUAAUGGCCAAAUUAAUUGGUCAUAUGUUAUUUUUAUAAAUUAUAGGGUAAAAAUUAAGCACAUUUCUCAGUAGAGACUUUCGAAUUCUAAAAUCUCUCAUGACAACUUAUCUUUAAAAUUAGUAGGAAUCAAUAUGAGUCUUAAUUGCAUGAAUUAAUUUCUUAAAAAAUAUUAUGAUUUUAAAUUUCACACACAUUUCUAAAUUUAUCCGUACCAAAUCGCUCACUAAUUCGAUAUAUAACUCAAUUGUGUGUACAUAUUUACACAAAUUUGUACAAGGUGGAUCCGUACCACAGAAAGUACUAAAAAUUAACUUCUUGUCGAACGAGGAAAGCCGUGUUUCGACUUUAAAAUUUACUGGAAAAUUGACAUCUUAAACAAUUUGGAAUGUUUUUUGGCGAAUUGAUUUUUAUCCCAAUUUCUCCCAGAUGAUAACAAUGUGUAAGCAUUGCUAUGUAAUAAGUGGAAUUUUUCUGCUGUAUCCUCAUUAAUAUUUUUGUCUGGAUUAUGUGUUAGGCACAAUUUUUUACGCUUUCUUGAUUAUAACUUGAUCUUCCCCACCCACUACAAAUUGUCAAAGGGUUUGACAAUAGUGUAAUGUAUUUAACACGUUUAUUACACGUGGUAACAAUUAGCUAGCUAAUGAUGAGUAAUCAAAUUAAGUUUGGUCUUACAAUUUACAUAUUCACGUGGAACUUUGUAACGUUUUCACACGAAUUGAACGAUCAAUGUUUAUUAUUCAAGAUAGGUGUCGUAAAUUAUAAUCUUGAAACAUAGAAAAAGUACGCGUGUGGAACGCGUGCAAAUAAUUAAAACUAAUAUUGUGUUGAUAAUAAUGUUUGAAAUCAUAAUUUUGAAGGUGUUAGGUAAAUUUAUGCUCAAACACUUAAACAUUUCUUACUGUGAAGAUUCCUACGGAUUUUGUAUUUCCAAAAUUAAUUCAACUGUCACAAAAUUUCAAUUUUUAUGCAAAAAUUUCUCGGUGCUUUCCACACAAGUAUAUUUUCAGCAAGGUACAAAUUACACUUCUCUUAUUUUCUUGUAUGCUGAUUUCCGGAAAUGAUAUAAAAUUUAUCAAAUUAUCGAAAUAACUAUUCUGUAGACAAUGGUGAUGUCUCUCGUAAAAAAUACUUAUAAAUUUUCGGAAAAAAGAUUACAUGUGCUUGUAGAAAUUGACAGGUCAUACAUUCGAAAUUCAAAUAUCGCACAUGUACUGAGCUCAGCAACGUAUUAAGGUUUGGGCUGAAAAUAUAUUUAUUCAGAACAACCUUCCUAUUUUUAUUAAUUACACCGUAUCAAUUGUAUCGAUAUGGAAGUCAAAAAUAUAAUCCGAACAAGAUUAUCGUAUUUUCAAACUAGAACAAAUGGUGAAAUUUGAUUUCAUACGAUUAACCGCUUAUGUUUGAUAGGUUUGCGCUCAACAUUUACUCAACUUACAUAUCGAGUUUUGUCAGAUUCCAUGAAUGCACCCCAGCGUUAGCAUGCCCUCUACAGUUUUCUGUCGUUAGAAAUGUAGUGACUUGAACUACGGGGAAUAUAAAAAUGGUAAAUUUUUAAAUUCCCCUAAAUUAAAAUAUUCCUUGUAUAACAUCGAAAACAUUACAUCAAUUUCGCCUCAUUUAAGUAUUUGGUAGGUUUCUUAUCAAUCUUUACUCAACUUACAUAUCGAGUUUUGUCAGAAAUUAUAUGCCAUCUUUUCUUUUUUCGUACCAAAAAUGAUAAUUUAUAUAAAAUUCUCUGGUACUGGAGAAACCUGAAUUAUGGGGAAUUUUAAAAAUGGUAAAUUUUAAAUUCCACUAACUGGAAAUAUUUACGAAUUUCUUGACAUGAACAUUACCUUAAUUUCGUUUGCGCCUCGUUUAAUCAUUUGAUAGGUUUUUUAUCAAUAUUUACUCAACUUACAUAUCGAGUAUUGUCAGAACCUAAAGUUGCAAUUCCGUCAACGGUUUUCAGUCUUAUCUAGAAUGAUGAGUUACAUAAAAUUCUUUAGCAAUGGAAUAACUUGAAUUACGGGGAAUAUAAAUAUGGUAAAUUUUAAAUCCCAGCAAAUUAAAAUAUCACAUGAAUUUCGCCUCGUUUAAGUAUUUGAUAGGUUUGCCAUCAAUAUUUACUCAACUUACAUAUCGAGUUUUGUCAAGGCUUAUAUGCCAUCUUUACUUUUUUCCUACCAAAAAUGAUAAUUUAUAUAAAAUUAUCUACUAGUGGGGAAAGUUGAAUUACGGGGAAUAUGAAAAUGGUAACUUCAAAAUUCCCUAAUUUGAGAUAUUCCUGGUGAAAAUAUAUACCUAAAUUUCACUUGAAUCUCGUUUAACCAUUUGAUAGGUUUACGUUGAGCAUUUACUCAACUUACAUAUCGAGUUUUGUCAAAAUCCAUGAAUGCCUUUGAAUGUUAGAUACCUUCUUCAGUUUUCUGUCUUUUCUGAAAUGAUGGGUCGUAAAAUUUUCCAAUCGUAUCGAUAGUUAUCAUAAGGGGAAUACAAAUAGGGUAAAUUUUAAAUUCCACUAAAACAAAUUGAAAUAAUCCUUGUACAAUACGAAAAAAUUACCGUAAUUUCGCUGACACUAUGUUUAAAAAAAUGAUAGGUUUGCGAUCAAUAUUUACUCAACUUACAUAUCGAGUUUUGUCAGAAAUUAUAUGCCAUCUUUACUUUUUUCCUACCAAAAAUGAUAAUUUAUAUAAAAUUCUCCGGUACUGGAGAAACCUGAAUUAUGGGGAAUUUUUAAAAGGGUAAAUUUUAAAUUCCACUAAAUGGAAAUAUUUACGAAUUUCUUGACAUGAACAUUACCUUAAUUUCGUUUUCGCCUCGUUUAAUCAUUUGAUAGGUUUACGUUCAACAUUUACUCAACUUACAUAUCGAGUUUUGUCAGUCUGAAUUAGACCAGUCUUGUAAUCGACAAAAAAAUUGAAUGUGGAAGAAUAAAAAUGUGGUAAAUUUUAAAUUCCCCAAUCUCAUAGAGAAAAUAAAUUCCAAAUUUUCCUCGUGAACAAUAUAAAAUUCACCUUAAUUUAGAUAGGUUUAAUACACUAUCAUCACGAUGAAUUAGAUUGUGUGUGUCCCGAUCGGCCUGAUUCGACCAGAAGACUAUAAUUUAAAUAUAUUCCCAGUUUAGUGAUAUAUUUUUCAUUAAAUUUGAAUAUUUAUUUCGUGUAAAUAAGUGAUACGAUCGAAAACUAAUUUAUAGGUCAUCAAACGCAGCAUAACUAUUAAAAUAAUUAUCCUUAAUUCAAUUUACGAUUUUAAGUUUACUUUACGUAAUUAACAGUUCUAUUCGUUGUAAAAAUAGGACUGUACUGGAAAAAUUUAAAAAAGUUUAUGUUCAGUUUACUCAAAAUUGAUUCAUUGAAAGACAGAAUUUUUCAGAUAAAUGUUUUGUUAUCAUUGUUAGGUUAAAUGUUGAAUGAUAUCAAUUCAUAUUCAGUGAUUGCGAUGACAGCCAUCAUAUUUCUUAUAUUUCGCUUAAAAUAUAAAAUGUGACAAAUGUCAGUACAUAUUUAGAAUUUUUACUUCCUGUAAAAAAACCUUCGGCAAAUGUGGUAAAUUUGCGAAGUGAUUAUGUUUAAAAUUAGACUUAAAUUGAUGGACAGGUUCAAUAUCGUGAUAAGAUUUGAAAUACAAUUUCUCUCGCUGAAAGGGCGCCUGCCACCUUUGCGAUGUCGGUACACAAUUCUCUUGUUAACGAGGGUGUUUUGUACCCUUUGCGUCUGGAUAAAAUUUUUGGCAAAUAUUGUGAAUUUGCGAAGAAUUUAAACUUGAUUUUGACGGAGACUGAAAGCACUUGUAACGAUGAUGAAUAGGUGUCAGAUCAUGAUAAGAUUUGAAAUACAAUUUCUCUCGCUGAAAGGGGCGAGCUUAACUAGAAAUACUUAACGCUUGUUAUGUGUUGGGGGCCUUUGCGAUGUCUUCACACAAUUCGCUUUGUUGCCGAGAGCGUCUUGUACCCUUUCGGCAUUAAGUAUGUCACACUUCUUCUGUUUCCGAACUCUUUCCGGGUGAAAUAUAUUUCCAAAAUUAGUAUUAGUAUAUAUAUUUCUAAACUCAGAAUCUGUACUAUUGAAUUUUAAUAGAUAUUAAUACUUGCGAAUUUGAAACUUACAUGUGGUAAUCUUAAGUUUCAACAGAAAUGGGUUAAAAAAUCAGUACGAAUUAAGUCGAAGCAUAAAAUGGUAGGUAGUUUAUGAAAAUCACGUCUUGGUCAUUAUUAAAUGUUGGAUUUUCUUCAUUAAUAUAACGACAGUUAUUUAUCGCGGAACUACCUUAUUACGGAGUAAUAAGUAUGUAAAAGUAUUUUACCCUAUAAUUGCACCAACUACCUUAUAUAUCCUUACAACAAACGCCCCAAAUUAUGUAAUUGGGACAGUAAUACAGACAUUUUUGAAAACAACCACUAACAUGAUUUACCUUGGUAUUGAUAAAUUCAUGUAAACAUAAUUAAAUGCAAUAGAUACCGUAGCACAGAUGCAAAUCGAAUCAAUAAAAAAUAGGAGCCAAAUUUGCGUACAUAACUGAUUCAUUGAGUCGUGUAAUAUAGAUGUUGACCACAUCACAAAAAUUGUGAUGGGGUCACUUAUUCCAUACGCGUAUCAUGGUACGAUAACCAAAUGGACAGACAAUUUAUAUGUAGAUUAAUUGAGGAAAGGAUCACUACGAAAUUAUACGUGCAUAACUCAUGCACUUGCUUGCCAAUUUGUCUUCACAUAGAGUUGAAUGCUUAGAACACCUAAAAAAUAUCCCUAGUAAGAAAUUGCCAAUUAUUUUAGCAAUUGGACUACACAGUUUAGCAAAGUCUUAUGUUAAAUGUAGUAACAAAAGGCAGAAUUUGACAGCUUAAAAUAAAUUCUCGAUAAUCUUGUUAGGUUGAAUAUCCAUAUUCAUAAGCAAGUUCAAUGAACCGGUCCUUAAGAUCGAAACUGCGAUUUACGAACUUGGUCCAAAAUAACUAGGUAACACCAAAUUAUUAAGUAUGUCUUGUGUUAAGGUAACAACACAAAGCUUAAAAUUUACUACAUUAUUUUAUAUAUAUAUCUGUCCAUCUUUGAAAAUCACAUAAAGCUAUUAUCAUGUUAGGUUUUACGAGAAUAUUCAUAAGCAAGUUCAAUGAACCGGUCCUUGCGUUUAAUAUCCAGGGAGAAUAUUGAAAUAUAACACGAAUUAUUGAUACGGACGGAAUAUCUUGUUAAAAACCAGGGUACGAAAUACCGUAAUUUUCUUAAGACAUGAUUUCUAUCAAGCCGAAAUGACUAAUUUUUUUCUCUUCACGAAAAUUGCAAGCGUUACAUAUGUAUGAGUAACGUUUGUUAAUUAAAUGAUUAAUUAAAUAACUGCCUGAUCUAAUUAAUUUUAAUUGAAUAUAUUUACUUUUCGACCAAACCUCAGACAGGCUUGAAACGUGUUUUCAAAAAUAUGUAUUUGCAAUAUUUAUAAAGUAGUGCAUGAAAUUAGUUAAAAAUUAAUAUUGGAAAAUCCUAGCAAUUUUUUAAGGGGGGUUAAAUAUCUUUUUUAAAUGGCUUAUAUAUUCUUGAAAUGUGUCUAUGCUAUUAAUUUUAUUUGAAUAAUAAUUAAGGCUUUGUAGGUGUAUUUAGUACAAUUUAUUAAUUAUACAAUAUAAUGUUUUAUGUAGUUACAUAAUUGCGAUUUGUAAUUAUCUAAAUAUAGACAUAUUUAAUUAAAUAUAUUUUACAACUUUUCAUUUAUGUACAUGCUAAAAAUAUCUGUUAAAAUUGGUUUGUAAUGAAUUUUUACCAUUGUUUAAUAAACCUUAUUUAUAAAUCGGUUGAUU